AAAGAUAUUAAUGUUCCAGUAGUAAUCGACUGCCCCCAACAUGGUCGUUUAGAAAUUCAGUGUUUGGGAAACAACGGAAACUCAUAACGGCAAAUAUUAACCUGGGGAGAUAACCGCAAUGACCACCAUCCGCUGGCACGCUAAGAUUCGUUGAUGGUAUGCUCUUCAGGUAACAAUUUCCAUCGUGCCAACUAAAGGCAUUACAUCGAUUGUUGACGAUACAAAGAUUACCGCAUUGACUUUCCAAACUUGGUUGAUUCCCAAUGUCAUGUCCGGGAAAAUCGCAAUUUGGGAUCAAUCUGAUAACGUUUUCACCGAGAUUAACAUAAGUUUCUCCGCCAAAAUUUGCUGUUCCACCUCCAAUGUUUCCACUGCCUUGGCCGUUUGAAACUCCGCCGCCAUAUGAGGCUCCACCGAGCUGACUGAAUCCUCCAUUAUUGAUGAUUAUAUCCAAACCAGACGAUAAUUCACUGUUUGAUUCUGUUAUUGGCAUAGGUUUAACUGGUUCAUCUUUCCUGUAGCCGAUUUUUCCUCCAUGGCAACUAGAGAUUGCCGACAACGUAACGAGUAAAAAAGCAGGUUCGUGGUCUGAUUUGAACAUUUAAUAGUUGUGAAAUCAAAACAGGAAAUUUAAACCAAAGGAUCGACUCACCAAAACUGCUUCGUGGACCAGCUUACAGUGCAAUACGUUGGAGUAGUGAAAACUGUGACAAAUAAAUAGAGGUCCUGCUUUAAAACAGAAAGAUGCAAGAUCAUUGACCGAAUGUUGGCUUGGACAGCGAUAAGGAGGUCAUUGCAAUUAAGGAAAUUUUACAAUAUAACAGAAUGAUUGAUCACAAUCGCCAGGGAAUGAUGCCACAAACGCCACCAUUGAUCGGUAAUCGUGAAGUCAUUGAUGGUGCAUUUUUCAAGUAACAGUAUUCUUCAUUAUCUGGCCGACGGAAGUGAGUACAUUGUGAAUUGGCAACACAAAUACCUCCGCACUCUUCCGCAGUGGCUACUUGGCGUCCUAUAUCGUGGCCGGGGAAAUCGCAAUUGCGGAGCCAUUUGACACCACCCCCGCCAUCGUUCCAAUUUUUAUUCGCUGAUAACACAAACGCAUCAAAUCGCCAUGGAAUGAAACCGCACAUACUUCCGUCCUUAGUUGUACGUGAAAUAGUCAAUGGUGCCCGUUUCAUGUGGCAAUAUCCAUCAUUGCUGUGUCUGAAGUGAGUGCAUUGUAUAUUAGCAAUGCAGAUUCCUCCGCAUUCUUCUCCAGAACUUUCUAAACGGCCAAUGUCAUGGCCAGGGAAAUCACAGUUCAUGAGCCAUUUAACGUCGCCCCCACCAUCGUUAAAUUCUUCCCCGAAAUUUGGGGGGAUUCCACCAACAACAACGUUUCCACCUCCGCUAUUACCAUCACCUGGACCACUUGAAACACCUGAAGCAAUGGACGUCCCCCCAAUUUGGCUGAAUCCUCCAUUGUUGAUAACUACAUUGAAGCCGGGAGAGAGAAAUCGAAGACCAUACAACAACCAAAAGACGAAUGCACGUCAGCAUGAUGUUACGUUCUUGGUAUGUGGGCCAAACUUAAAACAAUUAAGAAAACUAGGAUGUUGCUACACAAAUUGCAGUUGAAUAAUUCUCCUGCAAUGAUGGAAAAUAACGCAAAGAGGAUUCCAAGAAAACAAUUCUUGGUAACCUACAGCUCGUUUUAAAAUGAACUGAGAAGUUCAGACGGGCGAUGGCCUCUUUUAAGUGACAAGCUCGCAUGAGCAAACAAGGUCGAUGGCACUUUGAACUGUCAAUAUUGACCAUCAACUCAUCACGUGGUGGAUUCGUUCUCGCAGGAUGCCACACAAGCAUUUUACUA